CAGGCCUAACACAUGCAAGUCGAACGAAAAGGCCCUGCUUUUGUGGGGUGCUCGAGUGGCGAACGGGUGAGUAACACGUGAGUAACCUGCCCUUGACUUUGGGAUAACUUCAGGAAACUGGGGCUAAUACCGGAUAGGAGCUCCUGCUGCAUGGUGGGGGUUGGAAAGUUUCGGCGGUUGGGGAUGGACUCGCGGCUUAUCAGCUUGUUGGUGGGGUAGUGGCUUACCAAGGCUUUGACGGGUAGCCGGCCUGAGAGGGUGACCGGCCACAUUGGGACUGAGAUACGGCCCAGACUCCUACGGGAGGCAGCAGUGGGGAAUAUUGCACAAUGGGCGGAAGCCUGAUGCAGCAACGCCGCGUGCGGGAUGACGGCCUUCGGGUUGUAAACCGCUUUCGCCUGUGACGAAGCGUGAGUGACGGUAAUGGGUAAAGAAGCACCGGCUAACUACGUGCCAGCAGCCGCGGUGAUACGUAGGGUGCGAGCGUUGUCCGGAUUUAUUGGGCGUAAAGGGCUCGUAGGUGGUUGAUCGCGUCGGAAGUGUAAUCUUGGGGCUUAACCCUGAGCGUGCUUUCGAUACGGGUUGACUUGAGGAAGGUAGGGGAGAAUGGAAUUCCUGGUGGAGCGGUGGAAUGCGCAGAUAUCAGGAGGAACACCAGUGGCGAAGGCGGUUCUCUGGGCCUUUCCUGACGCUGAGGAGCGAAAGCGUGGGGAGCGAACAGGCUUAGAUACCCUGGUAGUCCACGCUGUA
rnacentral:rRNA from 1 species